UGGUAUGCACCUCGAUUAAACAGUAUUCAGCCAUGAUUCAAUCAAUUCUGGGUAUUUCCCAUCCCCAGAAUAUGGCGGGAAACAGAUCGCCAGAGCUGCAGUGUGAAAUCGAAAUUAUUAGUAAUAGAAAAAAAUAGAGGGGCAAAGAGGAGGAUUUCCGUCCAAUUACUUAUCUGUAGUAAGUUGUGAUAAAGAAUAUUAUGCAGAUAUCUGAAAAACAAAGUGUAAUGACCAAAUUGUAUUUCACAGUUACUAAACAUUACCGUUAAAGUAAUAUCGUAUUAAUUUUUUAUUGCUGUGUGUGAAUUUUAUUUGCAAAUCAAUUAGACAAUGUUUAAUUCAACACUCACUUAUCAAUAAUAAUUGAUCACAUCGUUGAAAGUUGAAUCAUCAGAACUUCAGGAGUGCAUUUUCACGAACGUUCGAAUACCUACUAAUGAGCUGAGGCCUUAUCAGGUUUUGAAAAACUUCACAUCUCGCAAAACACAAUGUCUCCAGAACUACAACGAUUGUUUUUCUUCCUGAUGCUGAUAAUACUAACCGUACCUUCCAGUAUCUGCCUGAUCAUUCAUUUCUACAAAUUCAUCAGAAGCCCUCGUUCGCAAAGUUUGGCUACCAGGAUGCUUACUCUUUACUCUUUCAUCUUAUUCAUACUCUACAUCAGCACGUUCGUACAUUUAUACUGGAACGAUCCCCAAUACCAUACGUUCGAAGAAAAUAAAUCGAUUCUUCCGUACAUAAUGGCUUUCAUGAUGUACUUAGUACUAACGACGAUAUUUUUAAAAUUUCUAAUAGCCCUAGAUAUAUGUAUGUGUUUUCGACAAGUAGCUUUGUAUUUGAGAAAACCUUUAGGUUCUCAAAACCUGAGAUUCGCGGUGUAUAGCUGUAUAAGCAUCGGUAUUCCUUCGAUUUUCACGUUAUGGUCGUUGUUCAUAUACGCGAAUAAAAACAUAGAGUAUUUAUGCCAAAGUCAAGUUUGGGCCAUGAGGAUUAUUCGUACGAUACGUUUGAUCCCUGUGAUUGCUUCAUUUUGGUACAUUAGAAAGUCCAGUAUCGAUAAAGACGAAUUAUGGAAGAGGUUUUCUUUACACUUGCGCCUUCUCAUCAUGCUCGGUGGGUUUUCUACUGCAUUGGCUCUGACUGAAUUUAUCGGGAGUAGAUUUGACGACGGAACGGAUCAAGCGCAGAAACCAAUUCGUAACUACGAGUGGGUUUAUUUUUUUAUUCAUUUUAUCGGGUGUACUUCGGAAGGGCUUGUAAUUGGGGUAUUUUUCACAUUCAGGAAAGAUACCUUUAAGCCUGUAGAAUGUUGAAAUUUUCAAAAUACACGAUUUUGAAGUUCCUGCCUCAAUUUGAGGCAAAAACGAAUGAAAGUUCAAAGUUAGAGAGAGGAUAACUUAAUUUUCUCAAAGUGAUGACAACAUUGAUUCUUUUGUUUAGAAAUUUUUUUUGUGAGGAAAUUUACCUGUUUUUGCAAAAAAAUAAAUCAAAUUGAAUAAACGAAUAAAUUCUGGGAUCAACAAGAGUAUAAUUAUAGUUUUCAAGUUGAAUGAAAAGUCGCGUUCAGAAUUAAACCAGGAAAUUCUCAUUUUUUUAAAUCUUCAGCAAUCGCCCCCCGCCCAAAUCCCGACACCUAUUACAAGUAUCUACGUUAUCUCAUAAGCAUGUUAGUAACCGAUUAUAAAAUCUCAAUAAAUAGUUUGAAAAAAUU